UAUAGAUAAAAUUUCGACCGUCAGUGAAACAGUGCCAAAAAUCAUCGAUUUGUUGUUGUAGAAAAACGAGAAAGGCUACAGCAAGUUGUGAAUUAUUAUGAUUUCAUUUAUCUAAUGUUCAUGAUUUUAUUUCAUUAACUACAGGGGUGUACCGAAAAAGGAUUACCAAAGAAACACUUUUCCACCAUAUUGUGUUGGAAUGGGUUAUAUCCUUAGUUCAGAUGUCAUUCAUAAUAUGAUGGUGAUUGUACCCAAGCAACCAUUGUUUAAACUGGAAGACGUCUAUAUUGGUCUGAUUCUAGAAAAAUUAAAGAUAGUGCCAGUAGAUAGGCGUAAAUAUUUACAGGUACAUUCUGAUUACUCCUGGGAUGUUUGCCAACAUAAAGACAUGUUGUUAAGUCUAGAAGCAAAUCCAAAACAAAUGCUGCAAUUGUAUUUGAAAUUUUCAAAAUUAGGGAAAUGUGGUCCUGUAGAUUAUGUUAAAAAGGCGUAGUUUGUAUUGUUAUUGUAUAUUGAAUUUGAAAUGUAAUUUUUAAUAUUUUUCGUAAAUAUUUGAAAGCGUCUUUUAUAUUAAUUGUUGGUAAAUAAUUUGACAAAGUAUCGUAGCUUAAAUUAUUAUUGGCAAAUAAAUUGUGGGCGCAUGUUGAAGAUUGCUCGUGGACAUCGGCCACAUUUGUGCAAUAUCAGCGCAUUGUAUCAAUUUUAAUGUAGGUUAUGCAAUAACCAAGGUUAGUAACUUGGUAACUUGGUAACCAGGUAUCCUGACGUCAGCACGUCACAUGACCGACAGGAUGGCGCAAUGGGAUUAGAUGCGACAUCUAUCAUUCGAAGUCUGACGUCCAAACGACAACAACGUGUGUUUUGAAUUUUUUAUGCACGCUUAGCUCAACG